ACACCCCGCUAUAAGAGCGGAGCGAGCGGCCGCGCUCCGCAGUGCAUGGCAGCGUCGGGCCUGGGGCCGUUCCUCCGGGUCGGUCCGGGCACCCGCCCCGCUGCCGCCACCCUGACCUUGGCAUCGGGACAGAGCGGGCGGCGCGGCGCUGGGGAUGCCUUAAUGAGAACGCGCAGGGACCUCUUCUAGCGAGGGGAGAGGCGACCUCCUCCCCGCUAUCGGAAGAAAAAGAGGAUUUAAAGAGCGGCUUUGCCCCCCUUUGUUGACUGCGAAGGACAGAGGAGGACCGGCAAGAUGAGCACUAGCACAGUUCCCUACCAACAAAACCCCUACACCGCCGGGAGCGGCUCCACCGUCAUCCAGUGCUACCGCUGUGGGGACACCUGCAAGGGCGAGGUGGUGCGUGUCCAGAGCAACCACUUCCACAUCCGCUGCUUCACCUGCCAAGUGUGCGGCUGCGACCUGGCCCAGUCGGGCUUCUUCUUCAAGAACCAGGAGUACAUCUGCACCCACGACUACCAGCAGCUCUACGGCACCCGCUGUGACAGCUGCGGGGACUUCAUCACCGGGGAGGUCAUCUCGGCGCUGGGCAGGACCUACCACCCCAAGUGCUUCGUCUGCAGCACCUGCAGGAAGCCGUUCCCCAUUGGGGACAAGGUGACGUUCAGCGGGAAGGACUGCGUCUGCCAGAACUGCUCCCAUUCGCUUAUCAGCACCAAACCCAUCAAGAUCCACGGGCCCAGCCACUGCGCAGGCUGCAAGGAGGAGAUCAAGCAGGGCCAGUCCCUCCUGGCACUGGAGAAGCAGUGGCACGUCAGCUGCUUCAAGUGCCAAACAUGCGGGAUCAUCCUCACCGGAGAGUACAUCAGCAAGGAUGGAGUCCCAUACUGCGAGUCUGACUACCACGCGCAGUUUGGCAUCAAGUGUGAGACGUGCGACCGGUACAUCAGUGGCAGGGUCCUGGAGGCGGGUGGGAAGCACUACCACCCCACCUGCGCCCGCUGCGUGCGCUGCCACCAGAUGUUCACCGAAGGAGAGGAGAUGUACCUCACAGGCUCUGAAGUGUGGCAUCCCAUCUGCAAGCAGGCAGCCCGGGCAGAGAAGAAGCUGAAGCACAGAAGGACAUCAGAAACCUCAAUCUCGCCACCCGGCUCCAGCAUCGGCUCCCCCAACAGAGUCAUCUGCGCUAAAGUGGAUAAUGAGAUCCUUAAUUACAAAGACCUGGCAGCUCUUCCCAAGAUUAAAGCCAUCUACGAAGUGCAGCGUCCUGACCUCAUUUCGUACGAGCCCUAUCACAGAUACACGUCGGAUGAGACGCUGGAGAGAUAUAGCUAUGGGGAGUCCUUGGGGACCCUCUCCCCGUACUCACAGGACAUCUAUGAGAGCUUUGACAUCCGGCAGAGGCGAGCCUCCAGCCCUGGCUACAUCGACUCCCCCACGUACAGCCGGCAGGGCAUGUCCCCCACCAUCCCAAGGUCCCCCCACCACUUCUACCGCUCAGGCACAGAGAGUGGGCGCAGCUCCCCCUACUAUAGCCAGUUAGAUGUGAGGUCUUCUACUCCAACCUCAUACCAAGCACCCAAGCAUUUCCACAUUCCAGCUGCUGGUGAGAGCAACAUCUACAGGAAACCUCCCAUCUACAAGCGGCACGACAACGUCCCUGCAGCCACCAAAAGCAAAACCAGUGAGGACAUUGCACAGACAUCCAAGUACAGCCCUGCCUACUCCCCCGACCCCUACUACCACUCCGAGUCAGAGUACUGGUCCUUCCAGGGAUCCCCCAAAGCCCCCCGCGCCCGGCGGUUCUCAUCAGGAGGUGAAGAGGAUGGCUAUGAGCGGGGCAUGCACAAGAUCCAGAGCGGCAUUGGCAGGCUGAUCCUGAGGGAGGAGAUGAAGGCGCGCUCCAACUCCUAUGCAGACCCCUGGACCCCACCCCGCAGCUCUGCUAGCAGCAGAGAAGCCCUGCACACAGCUGGCUAUGAGAGCUCCCUCAACGGCUCCCCCCGGAUGCACUACCUGGCUGACAGUGAUCCCCUCAUUUCCAAGUCAGCCUCUCUCCCUGCCUACAGGAGGAACGGGCUGCACAGGCCGCCCAGCGCAGAGCUUUUCCACUACGACAGCACCAACGCCGUCAACUGGGGGAUGCGAGAGUACAAGGUAAGAUGGCUCCCAGGCGUGACUGCCACCUGGAGGUGACACCCAGAGGAGGUCCCAGAGAGGUGCCCCUGUGUGCCCAGACCCUGUUAGGGAGAAGCUUUGCCCUCUCCCUGCCUUCUUCCCCCUCCACCCCCAUCCCGACAGCCCAUCCUGGGACUGUAGGGCUCCCAACAGAGCUUCAGCUUCCUGCCUGGGUCCCCAGCCCUGUGCUAGGCAGCAGUGUCUUCCUGGCACGAGGCAGAGGUGGGUGGCUGUGCUCGUGUUCCCAGCUCACAUUCACCUCUGGGUCACUCCUGGCUUUGCAGAGUGAGUAGCAGAACUUUGAUUCACCGUUUCAGAGCCACACAGGUGGAUUAGGGUCACACCAAAAGCAAGCCACCUUCUACCCUGUCCCGCCAAAGCUCUGCUUGCUAUUUAAGCCCCCCCAAAAUGUGGCAGGGGGAGGCAUUGUCCUGGUGCCCCAUUGCUGGCUGUAGAGAGCUGCCAUGGUGCUGCUGUCCCUGCGCAGAUUUACCCCUAUGAGCUGCUGCUGGUGAAGACAAGGGGAAGGAACCAGCUGCCCAAGGAUGUGGACAGGACUCGGUUAGAGCGGCACCUCUCCCAGGAGGAGUUCUACCAGAUCUUUGGCAUG